UUGACAAUUGAAUGUUUAUUGUUAGAUGUUUUACAUAAAGUAUAUAAUGUUUAUGUUGUCACAUAAUAUGUUUUGUUCAGUAAGUGUGUAAGUAUUGAAAUGCAGUAAUGUUGAAACCUUAAAUCUAAAAAAAAAAGGAGAUGUCAUGAUAAGUGAGUAUUUCAUGAUAUGUGUAUAUACCUAGUCUAACCACUAGAUGUCAGUAGUGACGCACUUACCGGUAUAUGUUAAUACGGCAUGAAGAAGACGAGUUGUCGUGUUGUUGUGGUCUAGAGUUGCACCAUGUGCGCAUCGUUCUGAAAUAAAGAUAUGUUUGUCAUACAACGUUUAUUUGAUUAAAGAACAAACAUUACAACGUGCAUCUUUUCUGGUCAGUCGUCAUGAAAACAUGGCGUUUGGACCAGAGUGAAAACAAACAACAUAUCACUGUAUACCACCAGAACCGGUGAGUCUGUGACCUUUUCCUGACCAAGUAAUGUAAGGAUGAUCGCUCCACUCGGGGAGAUGAGAGAUCUUCUCUUCAGUGCUGGGCUCGAUCGGCCAACCCCAGGCUUUGAAGAAGGACGACAGAUUCAUGUCCACCACCUUGGAGAAGGUCUCAGCGUA